CUCUCUUCUAAUUGGUUACCAUAGUGGCUAUCUUGCUACCCUCUAUUCUGCUAUAUAGUGUUUAAGAGGACAAUUCCUCUGCACUGGUAUUUGGGAUUGACAACUACGAUCAACACCUAGUACUGUUGGUUCAUAUAUGGAUAUAAUGUCUUACACUUUUGUGGAUUGAUUGAUGUUAGGGACCAACCGAGAAAGAACAAAUUGAUGUUCAAGGGGAUAUAGCUUAUGACAUCGUGGAAUUCAUUACAGAUACAUGGCCUGAUGUUCCAGAAACAACAAUUUUCUUUAUAGAAGAUGGGAGAAAGGUUCCAGCUGCUUGAUUUUGAUAUCCUGGCAUUAAAACUUCGUACUGGUUGCUAGACUCUUCAAUAUUACUGUAAUCCCCCAAUGCCCCCUUUUUCUUACCAUAUCCCCCAAAAAAAGAACAUAGUUUGGUCUCGAUGGACAUCAGCAUGUGUACUUUUAGUUUAACGACAAUUUAAUUAGUGAUGUGUGUAAAGAGGCAAGAGGAAAAAAAGGUUCCUUUUCAUCAA